AAGAGUUUGAUCAUGGCUCAGAUUGAACGCUGGCGGCAGGCCUAACACAUGCAAGUCGAACGGUAACAGGAAGCAGCUUGCUGCUUUGCUGACGAGUGGCGGACGGGUGAGUAAUGUCUGGGAAACUGCCUGAUGGAGGGGGAUAACUACUGGAAACGGUGGCUAAUACCGCAUAAUGUCGCAAGACCAAAGAGGGGGACCUUCGGGCCUCUUGCCAUCAGAUGUGCCCAGAUGGGAUUAGCUUGUUGGUGAGGUAACGGCUCACCAAGGCGACGAUCCCUAGCUGGUCUGAGAGGAUGACCAGCCACACUGGAACUGAGACACGGUCCAGACUCCUACGGGAGGCAGCAGUG
rnacentral:rRNA from 3 species